AUGUAAAUCAGAAAUACAGAUAAUUAAAUGUUGAAAAAGAUUUACACUUAAACAGUUACGUGGCAGGUACUAUUAGGUUGAUUUAAGUGUUCACUUACAAACUACUAAAUCCCGCGGGUAAUUCAUUAAUUGGGUAUAAUGUUCAUUACUUUGGCUAACCCAUUAGUGGGUUUACAGUACAUCUAGUUUCUAGUUAUACCAUGCAGUGAUUAAUAUCCUUUCUUAAAAUCAAAUCUUUCAGGUAUAAUCCGUUCAGGUGAACCCUUUCAAUAACUGAUUGAGAUUGUAGUACUGAUCAUCCUCCUUGUGGCAAACCCUGCCACUUGGACUAACUAUUCUGUGCGAAUGAACAGUUGAAUUAUUACAAGCGAAUGGGUGCUAAAGCAGUGACCAAAUGCACGAACGGACUAUAAUGUUAUUCUUGCUGUUCUGAAUACGAAUGCCCUGAAACUACCGAACGGGAGACCACCCCGGGGUGCCUGUGUGUGUGGCCGCCAUUUCGCCUACCGAACACGUGGCGGCGGACAUCUUACGCACGAACAGCGGUACUUGGUCGCCGAACGCCUAGAACUCAAACCGGGCAUUCGACUAACCUCCAGCAUGC